rnacentral:rRNA from 1 species
AUGCUGCGCCAAGCUAUGGGGCGGCCUUCCCACCUCACGCCGACUGGAUCAUGGAUACAGGCGCCUCUUCCCACGUCACCGGGGACCCAGGAUCUUCGAACCAAGGCGGUCCUUCUGAGGUGCAAUAGCUCUGGUGACCUCUACCGCUUCUCCGGCGGCCGUGGCGACACUCCUCCGGUGGCCUUCACCAUUUCUCCGUCGGAUCUUUGGCAUCAAAGGCUCGGGCACCCGAGCUCCUCUUCCUUAGUUUAUUUUCCCUUUGAUGUUUCCCCAACAUGUAAUAAAGUUCCACCGUCACCAUUAUGUACCGCUUGCCAAUUGGGCAAACAUGCACGCCUACCCUUCCCCACCUCUUCCUCCUAUACCACUGCACCUUUUCAACUGUUGCAUUGUGACUUGUGGACCUCUCCAAUAGUUAGUUUUUCGGGUUACAAAUAUUAUCUUGUCAUUUUGGAUGAUUACACGCAUUAUUCC